rnacentral:rRNA from 1 species
AUUGAACGCUGGCGGCAGGCCUAACACAUGCAAGUCGAGCGGUAACAGGAAGCAGCUUGCUGCUUCGCUGACGAGUGGCGGACGGGUGAGUAAUGUCUGGGAAACUGCCUGAUGGAGGGGGAUAACUACUGGAAACGGUAGCUAAUACCGCAUAACGUCGCAAGACCAAAGAGGGGGACCUUAGGGCCUCUUGCCAUCGGAUGUGCCCAGAUGGGAUUAGCUAGUAGGUGGGGUAACGGCUCACCUAGGCGACGAUCCCUAGCUGGUCUGAGAGGAUGACCAGCCACACUGGAACUGAGACACGGUCCAGACUCCUACGGGAGGCAGCAGUGGGGAAUACUGCACAAUGGGCGCAAGCCUGAUGCAGCCAUGCCGCGUGUAUGAAGAAGGCCUUCGGGUUGUAAAGUACUUUCAGCGGGGAGGAAGGGAGUAAAGUUAAUACCUUUGCUCAUUGACGUUACCCGCAGAAGAAGCGCCGGCUAACUCCGUG